GAUCGGGGAUGGGCUCGCGGCCUAUCAGCUUGUUGGUGGGGUAAUGGCCUACCAAGGCGACGACGGGUAGCCGGCCUGAGAGGGCGACCGGCCACACUGGGACUGAGACACGGCCCAGACUCCUACGGGAGGCAGCAGUGGGGAAUAUUGCACAAUGGGGGAAACCCUGAUGCAGCGACGCAGCGUGCGGGAUGACGGCCUUCGGGUUGUAAACCGCUUUCAGCAGGGAAGAAGCGAAAGUGACGGUACCUGCAGAAGAAGUACCGGCUAACUACGUGCCAGCAGCCGCGGUAAUACGUAGGGUACGAGCGUUGUCCGGAAUUAUUGGGCGUAAAGAGCUCGUAGGUGGUUGGUCACGUCUGCUGUGGAAACGCAACGCUUAACGUUGCGCGUGCAGUGGGUACGGGCUGACUAGAGUGCAGUAGGGGAGUCUGGAAUUCCUGGUGUAGCGGUGAAAUGCGCAGAUAUCAGGAGGAACACCGGUGGCGAAGGCGGGACUCUGGGCUGUAACUGACACUGAGGAGCGAAAGCAUGGGGAGCGAACAGGAUUAGAUACCCUGGUAGUCCAUGCCGUAAACGUUGGGCACUAGGUGUGGGGGACAUUCCACGUUCUCCGCGCCGUAGC
rnacentral:rRNA from 1 species